GGUGGGGGCUGCAGCCGGGUGCUUCCUCAGGCUCAGGGCUGCGUCCCCCCAACGGCUCCACGGCCGCGUUCCGCUCCCCGCAGCGCUCUGCCGGCGUCCGGGGUGUCCGUUCCUCUCAGCCGUCACUCUCCGGUUGAUCAGAUACGAGAGCAGAGACCACUUUCUGAGGCCAUUCUGUAGGCAAGUUUGUACUAGAACCACUAGGGGAGGGAAAUCAUAAUACGGCUGAACAGACCUUCAUUUAGACAGUGGAUUUCUGGAAUCACAAAGCUUCAUCAAAAAUAUUGUGCAGCUUUUAAACUGCAACAAGAAUUAUGCAUUUCCCUGAGAAGGCAUCUCAGAAAGGAAUGGACUUGGAUGUGUUCAGGAGGAAGAGAACACAGCAGGUGUACUUGGUUUUGGAUUCUGGUGAGUCCUUCAAGAGAUCUGCAAUUAAAGCCCUUUUGUAAAUCCUACAUGAGUGAGGGUCUGAGGGAGCAGGGGCUAAAUGCUUCUUAAUGAACUGGGACGAAGCAUUCUAUGAAGUACUUAGGAGAUCCAAAAUAACCAUUUCUUAAGUAACAACAUCAAAGUUGUCCCAGCCUGAAAAGACAGACCAACAUUCAGGUUGGACUUGGAAGAAGGCCCUGUCCUGCCCUCAUCUUGACAUUGUUUGCAUGCUGCUCAGCUUACUCAUGACCAUUCUGUCAGCACAGUAAGAAACCCUGCCCAUGUGCUGUUUGCUACCAUGGCUGUAGGAGCACUAUGAAAGACAAAUAAAUGCCACUUUAUAAUUUCAGAAAAAGAGAAGACUUGAGGCUACUUUCACG